rnacentral:rRNA from 1 species
AGUGAACGCUGGCGGUAGGCCUAACACAUGCAAGUCGAACGGCAGCACAGAGGAGCUUGCUCCUUGGGUGGCGAGUGGCGGACGGGUGAGGAAUACAUCGGAAUCUACUCUGUCGUGGGGGAUAACGUAGGGAAACUUACGCUAAUACCGCAUACGACCUACGGGUGAAAGCAGGGGAUCUUCGGACCUUGCGCGAUUGAAUGAGCCGAUGUCGGAUUAGCUAGUUGGCGGGGCAAAGGCCCACCAAGGCGACGAUCCGUAGCUGGCCUGAGAGGAUGAUCAGCCACACUGGAACUGAGACACGGUCCAGACUCCUACGGGAGGCAGCAGUGGGGAAUAUUGGACAAUGGGCGCAAGCCUGAUCCAGCCAUACCGCGUGGGUGAAGAAGGCCUUCGGGUUGUAAAGCCCUUUUGUUGGGAAAGAAAUCCAUCUGGUUAAUACCCGGGUGGGAUGACGGUACCCAAAGAAUAAGCACCGGCUAACUUCGUGCCAGCCGCCGCAGUAA